rnacentral:rRNA from 1 species
UGGGGAAUUUUGGACAAUGGGGGCAACCCUGAUCCAGCCAUGCCGCGUGAGUGAAGAAGGCCUUCGGGUUGUAAAGCUCUUUCGGCCGGGAAAAAAUCGCAUGGGUUAAUACCCUGUGUGGAUGAUGGUACCGGAAUAAGAAGCACCGGCUAACUACGUGCCAGCAGCCGCGGUAAUACGUAGGGUGCGAGCGUUAAUCGGAAUUACUGGGCGUAAAGCGUGCGCAGGCGGUUUUGUAAGACAGGCGUGAAAUCCCCGGGCUCAACCUGGGAACUGCGUUUGUGACUGCAAGGCUAGAGUACGGCAGAGGGGGGUGGAAUUCCACGUGUAGCAGUGAAAUGCGUAGAGAUGUGGAGGAACACCAAUGGCGAAGGCAGCCCCCUGGGUCGAUACUGACGCUCAUGUACGAAAGCGUGGGUAGCAAACA